ensembl:snRNA U6 U6 spliceosomal RNA
GGGCUCGGGUCGAUGGCAUAUAGCCUACAGUUGGAAUGAUACAGAGAUUAGCCUGGCCCCUACACAAGGGUGACACGCACAUUCCUGAAGCACUCCAUAUUUUU